rnacentral:rRNA from 1 species
GUAGGCGGCAAGCGUUGUCCGGAAUUAUUGGGCGUAAAGCGCGCGCAGGCGGUUCUUUAAGUCUGAUGUGAAAGCCCACGGCUCAACCGUGGAGGGUCAUUGGAAACUGGAGAACUUGAGUACAGAAGAGGAAAGCGGAAUUCCACGUGUAGCGGUGAAAUGCGUAGAGAUGUGGAGGAACACCAGUGGCGAAGGCGGCUUUCUGGUCUGUAACUGACGCUGAGGCGCGAAAGCGUGGGGGAGCAAACAGGAUUAGAUACCCUGGUAGUCCACGCCGUAAACGAUGAGUGCUAAGUGUUAGGGGGUUUCCGCCCCUUAGUGCUGCAGCUAACGCAUUAAGCACUCCCGCCUGGGAGUACGGCCGCAAGGCUG